GCCUCCGGUGGGAGGAAACCCGGAAGUAUCGCCGUGAAUCACAUGAGAGUUGUGAAUGCGAUGUUGUGUAUUAGGCUGUACAUAAUAUUAACGGAAAGAGAGUGAUAAUAUAUAACCUUUCAUCGCUUCCGAAGUGACUAAAAGGGAUAUUGGACCUUAUUUUCAGAUUACAGACAACACGAGAGGGUGCUUCAAACUUUUUAAUCAGGACUGCAUUGUUUGUUCGCUCCCGGGGUUACAUAGACUGAAACGAGGAAGUGUGACGAGUUUGUUUACAUGGUGCUGUAAACUUCAACCCAGGAGGACACUUCAAAGGAAUCAAGGUGUCUGUGAUAUUGAAACACUAAAGGAAGAAGAGGAGGACCACCAUUCGUUUCCUGAGCAGAAAAAAAAUUAAGCAUAUCUAACAGUGGUUCUGGGGCAUUGCAAGACUAUGGUUACCUGGAAACAUCUCCUAUUAUGGAAGAUUAUCGCAACAUUUGUGUCUUGGAUCAUUUUUUCUUGUUUCUCUGCCACAGAUUUAGCUGUAAGGUUUAAAGGUCCCGUUUAUCCUGAUCCCAUUUUUUAAACUUUAGUUGGUGUGUAAUGUUGCUGUUAGAGCAUAAAUAAUAUCUGUAAAAUUAUAAAGCUCAAAAUUCUAUACCAAGCGAUAUAUUUUCUUUAAUAGAAUUUCCCUUUCAAAGCCUAUAGCAAACGGCCAGUUUGGACUACAGCCCUCUACUUCUCGAUUGAAUGACAUCCAAAGAAGAGUUUUUUACUAACCUCUGCCCACUGGAAUAUGUCAGUCGCCAGCUAAGCUCAAGUGGCUCUACUAAGCUGCUGUUGAAUCACAGCACACUAAACAAACUACAUAAUCAGAACUCGAUAGGUAUUUCUGAAGGAGGGACUUUAUAGAACAAGGAAGACAUCAGCUCGUUUUUAGUAAAGUAAAAACAGCGCUAGACCCAGGUGAAAAAGAAAUAUAUUUAAAUAGUAUUUUUUGGGACAUACUUAAUAUAUUUAAAAGCUACUAUACUAAAUGCAUAUUAAAUGUAUUAUAUUGAACCCACUUCAAAU